CACCUACGGGGGGCAGCAGUGGGGAAUAUUGCACAAUGGGGGAAACCCUGAUGCAGCGACGCCGCGUGAGUGAAGAGGUAAUUCGUUAUGUAAAGCUCUAUCAGCAGGGAAGAAAAUGACGGUACCUGACUAAGAAGCCCCGGCUAACUACGUGCCAGCAGCCGCGGUAAUACGUAGGGGGCAAGCGUUAUCCGGAUUUACUGGGUGUAAAGGGAGCGUAGACGGCAGUGCAAGUCUGAAGUGAAAGGCAAGGGCUCAACCUUUGGACUGCUUUGGAAACUGUGCUGCUGGAGUGUCGGAGAGGG
rnacentral:rRNA from 1 species